GUGGGGGUCUUCCUCAGCAAAUCAGCAUCCCAUUGGUUCCCCCAUUCAGGAUGGCGAUAUUUACCUCAUUCUAUUCAAUGCCUAAUCCUUUUUAGCAACACUCUCAGAAACCUUGGAAUGGCCUUUCUAUUCUCCUUCUUCACUUUUGUUUUUCUGGAAUGAUGGAGAAGAGUGGGAGCUGGCUGUGAUAGGGCCAGAGAGAUCAGGGAGCAGGGGGCUGACUGUGAUAGGGCCAGAGAGAUCAGGGAGCUGGCUGUGAUAGGGCCAGAGAGAUCAGGGAGCAGGGGGCUGGACAUCUCCAAUGUCCAGAGAAAUCUACCUUUAUUGAUUUGAUAUUGAUAUUGAUUUUCCACAUAAAGAUUCUGAGGUUAGUGUUUUCUGUAAUGAUUUAAGUGACCAUUGUGCUGUUGUUGCUGUUAUAAAUACUAAGGUUCCUAAGACAAACCCACGCUUUAUUCAUAAGAGAAAUGUUAAAAGUUUUAAUGAGCAGGCAUUCAUGAUUUGUUUAAUUUUGACUGGAGCAGAUUGAGCUUAUUCCUGAUGUGGAAACUGCCUGGAAAUUCUUUCAUUACUUUUUUGCCAAAUAGUAAACAAACAUGCCCCAUUCCACAGGUUCAGAGUUAAAGGUAGGGAUAAUGCAUGGUUUUCUCCAAAUAGUAAACAAACAUGCACCAUUCCACAGGUUCAGAGUUAAAGGGAGGGAUAAUGCAUGAUUUUCUUCUGAGCUGUCUUGUAUUAUUCACAAACAUAACAUCUAGCCUGGGCUAAGGCAAGGUCAUCAUGUUCUGAUGCUGAUUGGCUGGUUUUUAGGCUGCUACGAAACAAGUGUUCUUCUCUUCUCAGGAAGGCCAAGUCUGAAUAUUUGAUGUCUGUUACCACUGAUAACCUGAAUGACCCUAGACAGCUUUGGAAGGCUAUUAAGUCUAUGUCUGGUAACAGUCAUGUUAAUGAAUUACCGUCAUGUGUAUUGAAGGACUCUGUUGAUGUAUAUGACAAAACUGAAAUGCUGAAUUGUUUCAAUGAGCACUUUGUAUCAUCUGGUAGG
ensembl:lncRNA